GGGGGAAGCGGUGUGAAGCGACACAUUUUUUGUUUUACCUAUUUUACAUAAAAAAAAACCUAUUUUGCAUCUAUACGGCUGUACCAUUCAUCCCUUUUCCAUUCUCGUUCUCCUCCCGUUCCUUUUUCUCUGUUUAGAUCCUGCAAGGGACGAGUACGGGGCGAGAAGGGGGAUUUGCGGCAGAGUGUGGUGGUUGCAGGCUCUCAGCUGCGGCAGGUCCUCCAGCUCGAGUAGUGCCUGCUGCUCGCCGCCACCGCCGACUUGAUGGCCGUGGAGCUCGGCCCCCUUAACCUGAGAGACAGUCCACAUGUGGAGGCAAGUUGAGGGCUUCCUAGUUGCUACUACUGUCAGCUUCAACCUAUGUAAUGUGCUACAACUUUGCAUCAUUCCUACUUCAUGCACACCGACUGAUUCUUCAUAGGUGAUAGGCAACUCGGAUGGAUGGCUGGGUGUGACUUCGUCGAGCAUUGAGUCGAACAUCAAGUUGCAUUUUUCAUCGAUUCUGAUCUUUUCCCAGCGUUGUGUUGCCCUCUAUAGAAACUUCUUUUAUUGAUGUGUGCCGAGUAGCAGAUUUGGCUGGCUUGAAUUUUGGGUGUGUGCUGGGCAUGGCCGAAAUUUCGCUGGCUUGAAGUUUUGGAUGCGUGCUGGGUAUGGCUGGCUGGGUGCCUUUUUAUUUGUGCCUGUCUUGGCCGACUACGUGUAAACUUCAGGUUGAGUCCGUAUGGAAUUAUGUAUGCAGUCUGGUAUUGGUGCACGUGAGUUUCCAUAUGGGCUAUUUGCCUGAUUUGGAGAUUCAUGGGCAUGUUUUUUCUAAGGAAAGACUUGCCUACGUGAUCUCUUUUUUUACGUGUUCAAGUUGGACUUUGUUCAACGUGAUUGGCCGGAGGCUGUUUUUUUCUACGUGAUUUACGUGUUCAAGUUGGACUUUGUUCAACGUGAUUGGCCGGAGGCUGUUCGAAGGCUAUUUUUUUCUACGUGAUUGGCCGGAGGCUGAUUGAUUGGUCACGUCCAUGCCAAGUGCUAACACGAACGUGGGUUCAUCUUAGGCGUGUCUCUUUUUCGCGGGAGUACCUUAGACGUGUCAGAUGUAAAAAGUUGUACAUGUUAUCAUUGUACGUAACUUUUACAUAUUUUUAAUCUCAGCCAUUGUUGUAUAAAUCAAUGGCUAAUAUAUUUUUAGCCUAUGAGGAUAAAUGUGGUGGCUUAAUUGUCUCUUGUUUUAAUUAUAUAAUAGAUAGAUUGUUGUUAGCUUAUAUUGGAAAAUUAAAUACUUUUAAGACCAUUCAAGAAGGUCUAUAUUAUUUGAAGUUCUCUACUGGCUCUGUUGAACUGAAGAGGACACACGUUAGGUGAAUGUCUCAAUGUAUUCAAAAUUUACAACAUGACAUGCAUGGUUCUAAUAGUGCUGACCAACACUUGUUAUCUAAUAGGUGUCCUUAUUGGUAGAUGUUAAGUAUGCUUUCUCUACCUCAGUAAAUGGAAUAGUCCUUAGAUUCACUGAAUAAGCUACUAAUCAAUAUAUAUAUUUUGGAUAUGAUUCAUUAGUUCAUAAAUAUUUAAGGAUAGAGUCCCAUACUUGUCACGAAGUUCCCAAGUUUCCGAUAUUCUAAAUUUGUAUAUGUUCUUGUGGGGCUGGUUGAGUUGAGGUAACAAUGAUCAAUCUAUUAGAUAUUAUUAGUAAAUAAAAGAAGAGCUUGUAAUGUUAUUGGACUUACCAUUGAACUUCUGCACUAUUGUGGAGGUUACAAUAAGGACAGUUUGGUUGUUGCUUACAUCCUAAUUUCCCCAUAAUGUCAAUAUGAUUUUAUUACCCCUAAAGAGUAUAAGCAGAAAAAACUAAUGCUAAUAGCAAUGGUAGAAGUCCAAUUAAUAUUUUAAGAAUGGGUAUGCAUGAUGCACUUACUUUGGUAUAUAAUUUCAAUCUGGCAGAAAUAUAAAGGUUAUAGUUAUUUCUUCUUAUUCUUGAUUCCACAGGCUUCAUUUGGGGAGUAACCAAUGACAUUUAUUGGAGAUUAAUUAGUUCACAGUAAAGAUUAAUUACUUGAAAAAUCUUAUUUACAACUACAAAAUAUAGACAUACCUGAGCAAUGUUUAUCUUUCUUGGUCUGUUCCUAUAAUAUGUCUUUGCUAGCAAUCUCGAAGUAGUAAUGCGGAUAACCUUAUGCUUAUCUUUUCACCUUCAAAUUGUUAAAUGCAUAAAUAGAUUUGUCAUUUAUCUUUGAUUUCUACGUGUCCAUCAAACCUCCGAGAUGGUAGCAUGAAUUGUUUGGCCCUAUAAGAACAGUCAUAAUAUACUUAGUGAUUGUUGUUUUACUUUUAAAAUGAUGGAACAAUCUGAAAUUAGAUAUGUUAUGAAAUAACCUUUUAUCCAUCUAGAUCAUAUUGAGGCUCAUAAGCUCGUGUCGGUUAUACAUUCCAAUUUUGCUUCCUUGUUGUGACGUCACUAUGCUUCUUGUAUGACAAUGUUUUCUCUGCAAAAAAGUUAGAAAUUUGUUAGUCAAUUGAUAAUAUAUGUUCAAAGAUUGUAUCUAGAAUAAUAACUACACACCGUUAUGAUUCAGGUGAUAGGCAACUCGGAUGGAUGGCUGGGUGUGACUUCGUCGAGCAUUGAGUCGAACAUCAAGUUGCAUUUUUCAUCGAUUCUGAUCUUUUCCCAAAAUUGUGUUGCCCUCUAUAGAAACUUCUUUUAUUGAUGUGUGCCGAGUAGCAGAUUUGGCUGGCUUGAAUUUUGGGUGUGUGCUGGGCAUGGCCUAAAUUUGGCUGGCUUGAAGUUUUGGAUGCGUGCUGGGUAUGGCUGGCUGGGUGCCUUUAUAUUUGUGCCUGUCUUGGCCGACUACGUGUAAACUUCAGGUUGAGUCUGUAUGGAAUUAUGUAUGCAGUCUGGUAUUGGUGCACGUGAGUUUCCAUAUGGGCUAUUUGCCUGAUUUGGAGAUUCAUGGGCAUGUUUUUUCUAAGGAAAGACUUGCCUACGUGA